UCUGAGAGUUUGAUCCUGGCUCAGAGCGAACGCUGGCGGCAGGCCUAACACAUGCAAGUCGAACGGAUCCUUCGGGAUUAGUGGCGGACGGGUGAGUAACACGUGGGAACGUGCCCUUUGGUUCGGAACAACUCAGGGAAACUUGAGCUAAUACCGGAUGUGCCCUUCGGGGGAAAGAUUUAUCGCCAUUGGAGCGGCCCGCGUCUGAUUAGCUAGUUGGUGGGGUAAAGGCCCACCAAGGCGACGAUCAGUAGCUGGUCUGAGAGGAUGAUCAGCCACAUUGGGACUGAGACACGGCCCAAACUCCCACGGGAGGCAGCAGUGGGGAAUUUUGGACAAUGGGGGCAACCCUGAUCCAGCAAUGCCGCGUGUGUGAAGAAGGCCUUCGGGUUGUAAAGCACUUUUGUCCGGAAAGAAAUUGCUCUGGCUAAUACCUGGGGUAGAUGACGGUACCGGAAGAAUAAGCACCGGCUAACUACGUGCCAGCAGCCGCGGUAAUACGUAGGGUGCGAGCGUUAAUCGGAAUUACUGGGCGUAAAGCGUGCGCAGGCGGUUUUGUAAGACAGGCGUGAAAUCCCCGGGCUCAACCUGGGAAUUGCGCUUGUGACUGCAAGGCUAGAGUGCGUCAGAGGGGGGUAGAAUUCCACGUGUAGCAGUGAAAUGCGUAGAGAUGUGGAGGAAUACCGAUGGCGAUGCAGCCCCUG
rnacentral:rRNA from 1 species